rnacentral:rRNA from 1 species
UGGGGAAUCUUGGACAAUGGGGGCAACCCUGAUCCAGCCAUGCCGCGUGAGUGAUGAAGGCCUUAGGGUCGUAAAGCUCUUUCGCCUGUGAAGAUAAUGACGGUAGCAGGUAAAGAAACCCCGGCUAACUCCGUGCCAGCAGCCGCGGUAAUACGGAGGGGGUUAGCGUUGUUCGGAAUUACUGGGCGUAAAGCGCACGUAGGCGGACCAGAAAGUUGGGGGUGAAAUCCCGGGGGCUCAACCCCGGAACUGCCUCCAAAACUAUUGGUCUAGAGUUCGAGAGAGGUGAGUGGAAUUCCAAGUGUAGAGGUGAAAUUCGUAGAUAUUUGGAGGAACACCAGUGGCGAAGGCGGCUCACUGGCUCGAUACUGACGCUGAGGUGCGAAAGUGUGGGGAGCAAACAGGAUUAGAUACCCUGGUAGUCCACACCGUAAAACGAUGAAUGCCAGUCGUCGGGUAGCAUGCUAUUCGGUGACACACCUAACGGAUUAAGCAUUCCGCCUGGGGAGUACGGUCGCAAGAUUAAAACUCAAAUGGAAUUG